CGUGUAGGCGGGAAUACAAGUCAGAUGUGAAAUACUGCGGCUUAACUGCAGAACGGCAUCUGAAACUGUAUUUCUUGAGUACUGGAGAGGAAAGCGGAAUUCCUAGUGUAGCGGUGAAAUGCGUAGAUAUUAGGAGGAACACCGGUGGCGAAGGCGGCUUUCUGGACAGUAACUGACGCUGAGACGCGAAAGCGUGGGGAGCAAACAGGAUUAGAUACCCUGGUAGUCC
rnacentral:rRNA from 1 species